rnacentral:misc_RNA from 1 species
GCCGAUCGAUUUCUCAUUUCUGUAAAGAUUAAAGAACCAUCAAAAUUCAAGAAUCAAGAAUGCAACUUUAUUGCUCCAAAGUCUAGAUUUAUUAACAGAAGACCAUCUUCAGGCUCAGAAACGAAAACCACAUCAAACCAAAACAGUGCUAUUGUACUAACAAAACACACACAUAUAGUUAUAUAGAUGGUUGAAGAUGAUCGAUCAAGAUGCUUGAGUUUGAGUAGCCUCCUGAGCCUUCUGCUGGACAUAUUGCCCAUAUUCCUUAGCUCUCUCUUUCAUAUCGUGGGCCUUUCUUGCUAUCUGCCCUCUCGCAUAAUCCAGCUUAUCCGCGCCAGGUGGGUGCUUCCCUGUCAAGUAAUUAUACAUCCAAGUUAAUGCCAUUAUCGCCAUCAACCCACACCCACCUGAGAAAAAGAACCCAGUGGUGACCAGGAACACCACUAUCCCUGCUGGGACUAAAACGGAACUACAAAGCACCAGAAUUGGGGUGGACACGAUCAGAGCUAUGACUGUCCCAGUUAAAGUCAACCCUGACAAGAGCAAGAAAGUUGCACCUAUCAUGGCAGCGGUGAGGAAUUUGACCGUCGGGUGGGAGGAUCGCGGUGGCUCACGGACCAGUUGGGAAACUGGUCUUGAUUGAUCAGACAUAAUGGGCGACGAAAGGAGGAGUAGUUUGGGUUAAUUGUCGGGGAGGGGAAGCAGGGGAUGAGAGUGAUAUAUAAUAAUGAGUGGAGGUGGAGGUGCGGGAUGAUA